CCUACGGGUGGCAGCAGUCGAGAAUCAUUCACAAUGGGGGAAACCCUGAUGGUGCGACGCCGCGUGGGGGAAUGAAGGUCUUCGGAUUGUAAACCCCUGUCAUGUGGAAGCAAAUUAAAAAGAUAGUACCACAAGAGGAAGAGACGGCUAACUCUGUGCCAGCAGCCGCGGUAAUACAGAGGUCUCAAGCGUUGUUCGGAAUCACUGGGCGUAAAGCGUGCGUAGGCUGUUUCGUAAGUCGUGUGUGAAAGGCGCGGGCUCAACCCGCGGACGGCACAUGAUACUGCGAGACUAGAGUAAGGGAGGGGGAACCGGAAUUCUCGGUGUAGCAGUGAAAUGCGUAGAUAUCGAGAGGAACACUCGUGGCGAAGGCGGGUUCCUGGACAUUAACUGACGCUGAGGCACGAAGGCCAGGGGAGCGAAAGGGAUUAGAUACCCCAGUAGUC
rnacentral:rRNA from 1 species